CACUCUUCCUGAGGUGGUCUAUAGAAGUCAAGCAAGCCAAAGAUGUUAGAAAUUUGUGAAGGGAUAAUGUUCACAGGUAACCUGUGAAGGAUGCUGUCUCAUACCAAUGUGCUUUUUUUUUUUCUUUGAUGACUAUAACCAAUAAUGGCAAUAUGAAUUUAACUUUUCUUUUAGUUGUAGUAUGAUCAAUGUUCACUAACAACUUAAAUAAUCUAUCCUUAGUUUUUUAAAUUUUGUGAUGCCUGCCAAUACUUAUGAAUGAUGUA
rnacentral:lncRNA from 1 species